rnacentral:rRNA from 1 species
GAUGAACGCUGGCGGCGUGCCUAAUACAUGCAAGUCGAGCGAACGGACGAGAAGCUUGCUUCUCUGAUGUUAGCGGCGGACGGGUGAGUAACACGUGGAUGACCUACCUAUAAGACUGGGAUAACUUCGGGAAACCGGAGCUAAUACCGGAUAAUAUUUUGAACCGCAUGGUUCAAAAGUGAAAGACGGUCUUGCUGUCACUUAUAGAUGGAUCCGCGCUGCAUUAGCUAGUUGGUAAGGUAACGGCUUACCAAGGCAACGAUGCAUAGCCGACCUGAGAGGGUGAUCGGCCACACUGGAACUGAGACACGGUCCAGACUCCUACGGGAGGCAGCAGUAGGGAAUCUUCCGCAAUGGGCGAAAGCCUGACGGAGCAACGCCGCGUGAGUGAUGAAGGUCUUCGGAUCGUAAAGCUCUGUUAUUAGGGAAGAACAUAUGUGUAAGUAACUGUGCACAUCUUGACGGUACCUAAUCAGAAAGCCACGGCUAACUACGUG